GACGAACGCUGGCGGCGUGCCUAAUACAUGCAAGUAGAACGCACAGUUUAUACCGUAGCUUGCUACACCAUAAACUGUGAGUUGCGAACGGGUGAGUAACGCUUAGGUAACCUGCCUGGUAGCGGGGGAUAACUAUUGGAAACGCUAGCUAAUACCGCAUAAUAUUUAUUAUUGCAUGAUAAUUUAUUGAAAGAUGCUAUUGCAUCACUACCAGAUGGACCUGCGUUGUAUUAGCUAGUAGGUGAGGUAACGGCUCACCUAGGCGACGAUACAUAGCCGACCUGAGAGGGUGAGAGGCCACACUGGGACUGAGACACGGCCCAGACUCCUACGGGAGGCAGCAGUAGGGAAUCUUCGGCAAUGGACGAAAGUCUGACCGAGCAACGCCGCGUGAGUGAAGAAGGUUUUCGGAUCGGAAAGCUCUGUUGUAAGAGAAGAACGGGUGUGAGAGUGGAAAGUUCACACUGUGACGGUAUCUGACCAGAAAGGGACGGCUAACUACGUG
rnacentral:rRNA from 1 species